AAGUGGGAGCCCAUUACUAAUGGGCCCACUAUCACCGGUAGCAUGUUGGAGACCUGCAAGAGGAGGGAUGAUUGAAGGCAGGGUCCAGGGAGAUGAAGGGACUUAGUUGGGUAUACACUUAGUCCCAAGGUGGUACCAGAGGCAAACUUCCUUGACCCAGAUCUGGAGAAGGUGAGAGUUUCGGGACUUUGAUUUGUUGAAGGCAUUCACCUUUGUAACUUGGGACAAAUUACGCAGUUUGAGCCUCAACUUUCUUGUUAGCAAAAUUAAGAUUAAAAAGGUUGUUGGAGGAGCCAGGUGUGGUGAUUCAUGCCUGUAAUCCCAGCAAUUUGGGAGACAGAGGUGGGAGGAUUGCUUGAGGCCAGGGGUUCCAGCCAGUCUGGGCAAAAUAGCAGGAUCCCGACUCUACAAAAAAAUUUAAAAAUUAGCCAGAUGUGGCCAGGUGCGAUGGCUCACUCCUAUAAUCCCAACACUUUGGGAGGCCAAGGCGGGUAGAUCACGAGGUCAGGAGUUUGAGACCAGCCUGACCAACAUGGUGAAAACCUGUCCUACUAAAAAUACAAAAAUCAGCCAGGCGUGGUGGCACACGCCUGUAAUCCCAGCUACUCAGGAGGCUGAGACAGGAGAAUGGCUUGAACCCGGGAGGCGGGAGAUUGCAGUGAGCCGAGAUCAUGCCAUUGCACUCCAGCCAAGAUGACACAGUGAGACUCCAGAUUUGGUGGUGCACACGUGUGGUCUCAGCUAUUUGGAAGUGCACACGUGUGGUCUCAGCUAUUUGGAAGACUGAAGCUAGAGGAUCACAUGAGCCCAGGGGUUGGAGGCUGCAGUGAGCUAUGAUCACACCACUGCACUCCAACCUGGGUGACAGAGCAAGACCCUGUCUCAAAAAGAAAAAAAGAAAGUUGUUGGGAUGAUUAAAUGAGACAACUGUGUUAGCACUUAACAUAGCCUGGCAUAUGGAAGGCUGACAAUAAAUGGUAGCUAUUUUUAAAUGGGAAGAAAAAGGGCCGGUGUGGUCUAAGUUCUCUGCAGGAGACCUUCAGGAAGGUGGUUGGGGCCAUCUGCCCUUUGCUCUGGGGAGCAUAGAGCUCUACUCACUGCAUGCUCUAUAGGGUGGGCAUAGAGAGAGAUCACGCCAAUGGGAGCUGUCCACUCAUGGUGUUUCUUGUGGAUUUUCUUGUAGAAUGUUGGGUGGUGAAGGAGCCUGGGGAAAUAGUUAAUAGUUAAUAACCUGCUGAUUCCUCUUUCUCCCUCCCCGACCAGACCAUGAGAAACCAAAAAUAGGAACUAGGGGUUACAUCCAUGGAGCAAAGUUAACAACACCAAGACCUGCCUUCAAAUUUCAACCCCAGCCCUUAUACUGCAUAGUUUGGGAGUGGGUUGCUUUGCUUCUCUAUGCCAGUUGUAUUCGCUGUAAAAUGGGAUGCUGCCCAGAAAGGACUGAAUAAGGAAAUGAAUGGGAAACUGCCCUGGCUCCCACACAAUCAGAGAGGCCUUUUCUCUUUUGGACAUUCAUUCCUCAGUUGUCCCAAGUUGUCAGUUAUGAGACAACUAGUGGUCUCCCUGUUAACUAUUUAAUGGGACACUUGAGGCCAGGGAGUAUUUUACUGGCCUACACUCAAUUCAGAAGCCUGUUCCCUUUUAUUUUUUUUCUUUGAGACAAGGUCUUGCUCUUUCGCCCAGGCUGGAGUGCAGUGGUGUGAUCACAGCUCACUAUAGCCUUGACCUCCCGGGCUCAUGUGAUCCUCCCACCUCAAUCUCCCAAGUAGCUGGGACUACAAGUACACACCACCAUGCCUGGCUAAUUUUUUAAAUUUUUUUGUAGAGACGGGGUCUCCUGACAUUCCCCAGGCUAGUCUCAAACUCCUGGGCUCAAGUGAUCCGCCCACCUCAGCCUCCCAAAUUGCCAGGAUUACAAGCGUGAGUCACUGCACCUGGCCUCAGUUUCCUUGUUGAUCAGUGAGCCCUAGACAGGAUGAGGAGCCAGCUGUGCCUCAGGCAGGGCCUGCUCACCGGUGUGAAUAGUAGAACAAGACUUCCUCGAUCAGCGUGAAGAUGGCCAGCUCCAGGAGGAACCAGUGGAAGGAGGCCCUCACUCUGGUUGGAUUCUGGGAGAGAUGUCGGGGGACAGCCAGUAGCUCCUGACUGCCACCCAGCUCUGGGCCUGGAAACGUUGCAGAAUAAGGCCCUGGCUGCUAGGCAGGUAACUUGGGUAGCCUCCAUGGUGCUUGGAGAAGGCUGUGACUUUC
rnacentral:lncRNA from 1 species